rnacentral:rRNA from 1 species
GUAGUGACGACAAAUAACUCACGACAUGCGUAAGCAUGUCUUGAAGGAAUGAGUAAGAAGCAAAGAGUCUUACGAAAUCAAUUGGAGGGCAAGUCUGGUGCCAGCAGCCGCGGUAAUUCCAGCUCCAAUAGUGUAUAUUAAAGUUGUUGUGAUUAAAACGCUCGUAGUUGAAAAUGAUAUAUAUCCAUCGUUCAAGACAUGAGUAUGACUUGAUUGUAUGAAUGUGUUGAACAACAUAAAUGGAUAUAGUAAGGAAUGAUGCGACAUGAAUAUGUUGUGUUGUUAAUUACUUUGAAAAAAUUAGAGUGCUUAAAGCGAAUCUAUUAAAGAAUAGUGAAGCAUGGGACAAUCAAGCGAAUAGGAGAUCUACGGAUUUCGUAUUAGGAAGAAAGAUUAAGAGGAAUAAUUGGGGUAAUUCAGAAAAUAACGGGAGAGGUGAAAAUUCAUGAUCGUUAUAAGAUGAACUAGAGCGAAAGCAUUUUACUCAAUUAUGUUCAUUAAUCAAGAACGAAAGUUAGGGGAUCGAAGACGAUCAGAUACCGUCGUAGUCCUAACUAUAAACGAUGUCAACGAAGGAUUGGAUAAAUUUGAAGACUGAUAAUGAUAUUCAGCAUUGCUGGAUAACAUUUGAAGUCGAAUACACCUUAUUCAGAACUUGAAGAGAAAUCUUGAGUUAUUGGACUUCAGGGGGAGUAUGGUCACAAGGCUGAAACUUAAAGGAAUUGACGGAAGGGCACACAAGGAGUGGAGCCUGCGGCUUAAUUUGACUCAACACGGGAAAACUUACCAAGACCGAACAUUAUGAGGAAUGACAGAUUAAGAGAUCUUUCAUGAUUUAAUGGUGAGUGGUGCAUGGCCGUUCUUAGUUGGUGGUAUGAAUUGUCAGGUUAAUUCCGGUAACGAACGAGACUGAAACCUAUUAAUUAGUUCUGUGCCUAUAAGACACAGGUGUUAGCAAUAACAGAUAGCGAUAUCACUUCUUAAAGGGACACAUUUCAAAUGUUCUUUGAUUAUCAAAAGUUGGAUUCUGUCCAACGUGAUAAACGAAGAAAAAAGAAACAGGAAGCAUUCAGCAAUAACAGGUCUGUGAUGCCCUUAGACAUCUUGGGCUGCACGCGCGCUACAAUGAAGAUAGUAGAGAGUAAUAUAUAUAUGACAGUUUCGUAAUCAUAUAUUGUUUACAAUGUUGGUUAUAGAAAGUGUCAUAAACCGAAACCGUCAGGUGGAGGAAAACUUGAAGCAUCGUACAUGACUGGGAUAAAUGAUUGGAAUUAUUUGUUUUGAACGAGGAAUUCCUUGUAAUAUCACGUCAUCAACGUGAGAUGAAUACGUCCCUGCCCUUUGUACACACCGCCCGUCGCUCCUACCGAUUGAAUAAAGAGGUGAAAUUCUAAGAGUCAAGUAAUUCUGUUAUUUGACAAAUGGAUUUAAAUCUCCUUAUUUAGAGGAAGGAGAAGUCGUAACAAGGUUUCCGUAGGUGAACCUGCGGAA